AUACUUAGCUGGCAGGGGAGAUACCAUGAUCAUGCAGGUGGUUUUCCCAGGGCAAGGCUCUUCCAUUGCAUUGCAGAAGUGCUGACCCUUGUGAUUUUCCCAAAUGUGGGAAAAUCGACUGCAUAAUUUGUGGUAGUGGGGGACUGUGUUUGCUCUCUCCCCUA